GAGGAAUAUUGGUCAAUGGGCGAGAGCCUGACCAAGCCAAGUCCGGUAAAGGAGGACUGCCUUAGGGUUUUUAAACUCCUUUUUUCCGGGAAUAAAAAGGCUUAGUGUUAGGCCUUGCCAGGUCUGUAUUGAUUAAGCAUGGGCUACCUCGUUGCAGCAGCCGCGGUAAUACGGAGGAUGCGAGCGUUAUCCGGAUUUAUUGGGUUUAAAGGGUGCGCAGGCGGGCUUUUAAGUCAGCGGUGAAAUCUGGACGCUUAACGUCCAAACUGCCGUUGAAACUGGGAGUCUUGAGUAUGGAUGAAGUAGGCGGAAUUCGUUGUGUAGCGGUGACAUGCAUAGAUAUAACGAGGAACUCCGAUUGCGUAGGCAGCUUACUAAGCCAUAACUGACGCUCAUGCACGAAAGCGUGGGGAUCAAACA
rnacentral:rRNA from 1 species